AACAGUUUUUACAGUGAAGCUUUAAAUAGAGUUUGAAAUAUUUGGCAUCAGGAUAGAGAUUUUUGUAUGCAAUAUAUUAGUCAGUGUGACUUUUUAAACCCCCAAGAAGAGUGGCUUGUGCAAGAAGCUUCUUAUUCCCUAGUAAAUCAUAGAAUUGUAGUCAUGGGAGGCAGCUCAGGCGACCAGUCCAUCUCUGUUCUGCAGCAGAGCCAAGGACUAAUUUUGACAAUGAUUUGCCUAACCUUUCCAUGAUAGACUCCAGUGGUGAGGAUUCCAAGGCCAGCCUCGGCGAGCUGUUCCAGUGUACUGCUGUUUUUGUUAGUUAUUUUGUUCUAAGAGCUAACAAAUCUUCUUUUGCCACAUGCCCUUGUGAUUAUAUAACAGCUCUCAAGAGGAAGCUGCUAACAAGCCCAUCUGAUAUUUUGUGCCAGCUGUUUCAGUGGAGGCGUGUUGGACUAGACUGAACUCUGCCUUCUUUGAGAAGCAAAGCAUUUGGAAAGUGACAGAGCCUGAAGAAAAAGGGAAUUCAAAAUCUGGCUCUGAGUUUUCUCCUGGACCAGUCUGAUCUUCUGUAUCCACGGACAAGUGGGCUGCUGCAGGAGUAGUUUGGAAGCCCCACCACUAGCCAGUCUCUCUGCAUGAUGCAGCAACUCCUGCUAAGAUCCUACCUAUAACCAACACCUGUGUGAAGAGAUCAAGGAUCCUGAUUUGUUUCUAGAACUCAUUAAAAACAAGAAUUGCAAGAAAAGCACUAGUGAUUCCUGCCUCCUGCACACAAUUUUACUGCAGUGCCUGUCUACCUCUACAUGAGGACAAGCUUCUAAGAAUGGUGGUGAAACAUAACAAAUUGUAACCUUUUGUGACUGAUUUCAGAGGGGCCAAAUCAAAGAAUUUCUUUUAGGUAGCUAAAAUGUUACCAAAAUGUUAGGGAUCUUCAUGCAAAAUCUGCAGAAUCUGAGCAAAAGUUUCAAUCUGUCACAUCUGCAUCAAGCCCAAAUCCUUUUAAGUUUCAUUGAAGUGUUACCUGCAAAUGUAAACUUGUCCUUUGUCAUGUCAACGGCCAAUAGGCAGGAUACAAGUGAGAUAUCAAGGCUCUUCUUACCUUCAUUUCUGUGUCUGUUUGCUGUAUUUAAAGAUGCUCCUUGAUUUUAUUACAAUAAUACUUUUCAUUUAUAAAUUUGGACCUCCUCUGAUGUGAGCCCCAAGCAUUUCCAUUUCUAAGUGCAAAAAAGUUAAUCCCUGUGUAAUUAAAAGUGGUGCCAGUUUCUAACCACACUGCCUUACCUACCCUAGUCCUUUGGAAAUGUUUUACGUGCAACAACUUUAUAUACUAAACAAGUUUGUUUAAUAAAAAUGUUGUUACGAUAACUAUAAACAACAUAUUUUUGACAUGACUAAUGUUUUCAUGAAGUUGCUUUCAUUUUCACAGGUCACUGCUUCCUUUUCCAGCCUCACAAACAGUUUUCUCAAUCAUCUGGGUGCCUCAGCGCUUGGAUCUGUGUCCUAUGAUUUGAUCUUCUUUUCAGAGUGUUCUCUCAUUUGUCUCUGUCCAUGUGUUGUUUUUCUGACACUUCUUUUUUUCUAGUGGCACUUUAUAACAAAUUUUCUCUAUGAUGAACUGUUAAAAGAAGUGAGAUAUCCAGAAAUAAACU
rnacentral:lncRNA from 7 species